rnacentral:rRNA from 1 species
AUGGGAGCAAGCGCGCUGCCGGCGCUGCUGGUGGCGGCCGUGCUGCUGCUGAUGGCCGCCGCCGCCACGGCGAUCACGGUGGAGGACUCGGCGCCGGACAACAUCCAGCCGCUGUCGACGCUGAACCUGGCCGCCGCGCAGGUCGCCAUGGACCCCGGGUCGGCCAUCCACGCCUCACCCGACGUGCUCGGCAAGGACGGGGAGGAUUCCGCGUGGGUGGCGGUCAACUUCACGACGCCCUCGCCCUCCUCCGACCACUGGAUUGGCCUCUUCUCCCCGGCCGAUUUCAGCUCCGGCAUCGGGAGCGCCAGGGUAGCAGGGGAAGGAGAUGCGCCCGCAGGGCUGCCCGUGGCUCCGAUCAAGUACAAGCUGGGCAACUGCGAGCCGGAUUUCCUGCGCACCGGCGGCGGCAACACCAGCUUCCUCCUCAUCAACCAGCGCUCCGACUACGCCUUCGGCCUCUUCUCCGGCGGCAAGGACAAGCCUAAGCUUCUGGCGAUCUCGAACAAGAUCUCCUUCGCGAACCCCAAGGCCCCGGUGUUCCCGCGCCUGUCCCAGGGGAAGCAAUGGAACGAGAUGGCGGUUACGUGGACGAGCGGGUACAACAUCGGUGAGGCGUACCCGUUCGUGGAGUGGAGGAUGAAGGGCGAGGAGACCUCCAAGCGGACGCCCGCCGGCACGCUCACCUUCACGCGAGGCCACCUCUGCGGUAAUCCGGCCCGUGGACAGGGCUACAGGGAUCCGGGUUACAUCCAUACCGCGUUCCUCAAGGACCUCUGGCCAAACAGAGAGUACUCAUAUCAGAUUGGGCACGAGCUGCAGGACGGGACGGUGGCGUGGGGCAAGUCCGCCACCUUCCGCGCGUCCCCCUACCCGGGCCAGGCUUCGCUCCAGCGCAUCGUCAUCUUCGGCGACAUGGGACUCGGGGCAAAGGACGGGAGCAGCGAGCUCCAGGGAUUCCAGCCCGGGGCGCAGGUGACCACCGACCGGCUGGUCAAGGACCUGCCCAACUACGACGCCGUGUUCCACAUCGGCGACCUCUCCUACGCCAACGGCUUCCUCGCGCAGUGGGACCAGUUCACCGCGCAGAUCGAGCCCAUUGCCUCCAAGCUCCCCUACAUGGUCGCCAGCGGCAACCACGAGCGGACGUACAUGGACACCGGCGGGUUCUACAACGGCAACGACUCACACGGCGAGUGCGGCGUGCCGGCGGAGACCUACUUCUACGUGCCGGCGGCGGCGCACCGUGGCAAGUUCUGGUACGCCGCCGACUACGGCAUGUUCCGCUUCUGCGUGGGCGACACGGAGCACGACUGGCGGCCCGGGUCCGAGCAGCACGCGUUCCUCGACGCCUGCUUCGCCGGCGCCGACCGCAAGCACCAGCCGUGGCUCGUCUUCCUGGCGCACCGCCCGCUCGGCUACUCCUCCAACGACUUCUACGCGCAGGAGGGCUCCUUCGCGGAGCCCAUGGGCCGCGCCCUGCAGCCGCUCUGGCAGCGCCACCGCGUCGACCUCGCCGUCUACGGCCACGUCCACAACUACGAGCGGACGUGCCCUGUCUACGAGAACACGUGCACCGUCAAGGGCAAAGAUCGGCAGAGCAGCUACGCGGGGGCGACGGGAGGGACCAUCCACGUCGUGGCCGGCACGGGCGGCGCCAAGCUGAGGAGCUACGCCGGCGGCGCGUGGCCGCAGUGGAGCGUGGCGAGGAACGAGAGCUUCGGGUACGUCAAGCUCACUGCUAGCGACCACGCGUCCAUGCGGUUCGAGUUCAUCCACAGCGACGACGGCGCCGUGCAUGACGCCUUCACCAUCACCAGGGACUACAAGGACAUCAUGGCCUGCGCCGUCGACAGCUGCGCGCCACACACCCUAGCCAACUAG